rnacentral:rRNA from 1 species
UGGGGGAUAUUGCACAAUGGGCGCAAGCCUGAUGCAGCGACGCCGCGUGGGGGAUGAAGGCCUUCGGGUUGUAAACUUCUUUUGCUCUGAACAAGGCGCACUUUGGGGUGUGUUGAGUGUAGGGGUUGAUUAGCGCCGGCUAACUACGUGCCAGCAGCCGCGGUAAUACGUAGGGCGCGAGCGUUGUCCGGAAUUAUUGGGCGUAAAGGGCUUGUAGGUGGCUGGUUGCGUCUGUCGUGAAAGCUCAUGGCUUAACUGUGGGUUUGCGGUGGGUACGGGCUGGCUUGAGUGCAGUAGGGGAGGCUGGAAUUCCUGGUGUAGCGGUGGAAUGCGCAGAUAUCAGGAGGAAUACCGGAGGCGAAGGCGGGUCUCUGGGCUGUUACUGACACUGAGGAGCGAAAGCAUGGGGAGCGAACAGG